rnacentral:rRNA from 1 species
UGAACGCUGGCGGCGUGCCUAAUACAUGCAAGUCGAGCGAACAGACGAGGAGCUUGCUCCUCUGACGUUAGCGGCGGACGGGUGAGUAACACGUGGAUAACCUACCUAUAAGACUGGGAUAACUUCGGGAAACCGGAGCUAAUACCGGAUAAUAUAUUGAACCGCAUGGUUCAAUAGUGAAAGACGGUUUUGCUGUCACUUAUAGAUGGAUCCGCGCCGCAUUAGCUAGUUGGUAAGGUAACGGCUUACCAAGGCAACGAUGCGUAGCCGACCUGAGAGGGUGAUCGGCCACACUGGAACUGAGACACGGUCCAGACUCCUACGGGAGGCAGCAGUAGGGAAUCUUCCGCAAUGGGCGAAAACCUGACGGAGCAACGCCGCGUGAGUGAUGAAGGUCUUCGGAUCGUAAAACUCUGUUAUUAGGGAAGAACAAAUGUGUAAGUAACUAUGCACGUCUUGACGGUACCUAAUCAGAAAGCCACGGCUAACUACGUG